UAGGGAAUCUUCCACAAUGGGCGCAAGCCCGAUGGAGCAACACCGCGUGAGUGAAGAAGGGUUUCGGCUCGUAAAGCUCUGUUGUUAAAGAAGAACACGUAUGAGAGUAACUGUUCAUACGUUGACGGUAUUUAACCAGAAAGUCACGGCUAACUACGUGCCAA
rnacentral:rRNA from 1 species